UACGAAGGGGCUAGCGUUGCUCGGAAUCACUGGGCGUAAAGGGCGCGUAGGCGGCCGAUCAAGUCAGAGGUGAAAGCCCAGGGCUCAACCCUGGAAUUGCCUUUGAUACUGUUGGCUAGAGACCGGAAGAGGUUAGUGGAACUGCGAGUGUAGAGGUGAAAUUCGUAGAUAUUCGCAAGAACACCAGUGGCGAAGGCGGCUAACUGGCCGGUUCUGACGCUGAGGCGCGAAAGCGUGGGGAGCAAACAGG
rnacentral:rRNA from 1 species